AUGGAGGGUCAGAAGGCGAAGGAGGUGGAGGAUACCGGCUUCAAGCUGUGGUACAUGGGGAGGGCUACAAACAGAAAUGGCGUAGGCAUCUUGAUCAACAAGAGCCUCAAAUAUGGAGUGGUAGACGUCAAGAGACGUGGGGACCGGAUUAUCCUGGUCAAGCUGGUAGUUGGGGACUUAGUUCUCAAUGUUAUCAGCGUGUAUGCCCCGCAAGUAGGCCACAAUGAGAACACCAAAAGGGAGUUCUGGGAAGGCCUGGAGGACAUGGUUAGGAGUGUACCGAUUGGCGAGAAACUCUUCAUAGGAGGAGACCUCAAUGGCCACGUGGGUACAUCUAACACAGGUUUUGAAGGGGUGCAUGGGGGCUUUGGCUAUGGCAUCAGGAAACAAGAAGGAGAAGAUGUCUUAAGCUUUGCUCUAGCCUACAACAUGACUGUAUCUAACACCCCCUCUUUAGAAAGAGAGAAUCGCAUCUGGUGA
rnacentral:rRNA from 1 species